GACGAACGCUGGCGGCGUGCUUAACACAUGCAAGUCGAACGAAGAGCGAUGGAAGCUUGCUUCUAUCAAUCUUAGUGGCGAACGGGUGAGUAACGCGUAAUCAACCUGCCCUUCAGAGGGGGACAACAGUUGGAAACGACUGCUAAUACCGCAUACGAUCUAAUCUCGGCAUCGAGGAUAGAUGAAAGGUGGCCUCUACAUGUAAGCUAUCACUGAAGGAGGGGAUUGCGUCUGAUUAGCUAGUUGGUGGGGUGACGGCCCACCUAGGCGAUGAUCAGGAGCCGGUCGGAGAGAAUGAACGGCGGCAUUGGGACUGAGACACGCCCCAGACUCCUACGGGAGGCAGCAGUGGGGAAUCUUCCGCAAUGGACGAGAGUCUGACGGAGCAACGCCGCGUGAGUGAUGACGGCCUUCGGGUUGUAAAGCUCUGUUAAUCGGGACGAAAGGCCUUCUUGCGAAUAGUGAGAAGGAUUGACGGUACCGGAAUAGAAAGCCACGGCUAACUACGUG
rnacentral:rRNA from 1 species